UUUUAAAGUAUGUGUGUGCUUAUGU
rnacentral:piRNA from 1 species